rnacentral:rRNA from 1 species
GACGAACGCUGGCGGCGUGCUUAACACAUGCAAGUCGAACGGAAAGGCCCUGCUUUUGUUGGGUGCUCGAGUGGCGAACGGGUGAGUAACACGUGAGUAACCUGCCCUUGACUUUGGGAUAACUUCAGGAAACGGGGGAUAAUACCGGAUAGGAGCUCCUGCUGCAUGGUGGGGGUUGGAAAGUUUCGGCGGUUGGGCAUUGACUCGCGGAUUAUCAGCUUGUUGGUGAGGUAGUGGCUUACCAAGGCUUUGACGGGUAGCCGGCUUGAGAGGGUGACUGGCCACGUUUGAAAUAAGUUAGAACCCAGACUCCAGCGAGAGAGAGCAGUGGGGAACAUUACACAAUAGGCUGAAGCCUGAUGCAGCACCGCAGCGUGCGGGAUGACGGCCUUCGCGUUGUAAACCGCUUUCCCCUGUAACUAAGCAUUAGUAACGGUAAUGGGUAAAGAAGUCCCGGCUAACUACGUG